rnacentral:misc_RNA from 1 species
UAUGCUGGCAGGAACAGAAUGGAGCA